rnacentral:rRNA from 1 species
GAUGAACGCUGGCGGCGUGCCUAACACAUGCAAGUCGAACGGUUAAGGCGGCUUCGGCCGCGGAUAAAGUGGCGAACGGGUGAGUAACGCGUGACCGACCUUCCCCCCGCACCGGGACAACCGCGGGAAACCGCGGCUGAUACCGGGUACUCCGGGGCCCCCGCAUGGGGGCCCCGGGAAAGCUCCGGCGGCGGGGGAUGGGGUCGCGUCCCAUCAGGUAGUAGGCGGGGCAACGGCCCACCUAGCCGACGACGGGUAGCCGGGUUGAGAGACCGACCGGCCACAUUGGGACUGAGAUACGGCCCAGACUCCUACGGGAGGCAGCAGUGGGGAAUUUUGCGCAAUGGGGGCAACCCUGACGCAGCAACGCCGCGUGCGGGACGACGGCCUUCGGGUUGUAAACCGCUUUCAGCAGGGAAGAACCUCUGACGGUA